GAGAGGUGGGGCCCACCUGUCGGUGGCUCACGCGGCGCGCGCGCAGCCUGAGCCGGCUCAGUUCGGGCGGGAUUGGGCCGGUUCGGCCCAAAACGGUCGGGCCAGUCCGUUUUCCCCUUUUUUUUUCUUUUACCCUUUUCUUUUUCUCUUUUUCUUAUUCCUUUGAUAUCUUUUGAUUUUGAACCCCAAAUUGGUCCAAAUAAAUUCCAAAAAAUUUGUAAAAUCAUGUUCUACCAUGAUACAACUUUUGGGAGUAGUUUCCCCUCAAAAUAAAAUAUAUAAAAAUACAUUUGCCCUAUAAAUGCCUCUAGGGCUAUAUAUCUAUUUAAAUAAAAUACUUUUUCAACUCUAAAUAAUUAUCCAAAAUUAUGGGAUAGCUUAUAUAUGCAUUAAACACCUUUUAUGCAUAAACCCUAUUGGUUUGAAAAUUCCAAAGCUCAAAUGGGUGUAAACCAAAUCUUUUAAAGUCUUCUG
rnacentral:lncRNA from 1 species